UGAGGAAUAUUGGUCAAUGGACGAAAGUCUGAACCAGCCAUGCCGCGUGCAGGAUGAAUGCCCUAUGGGUUGUAAACUGCUUUUAUAUAGGAAUAAACCCCUUUACGUGUAAAGGGCUGAAGGUACUAUAAGAAUAAGGACCGGCUAACUCCGUGCCAGCAGCCGCGGUAAUACGGAGGGUCCAAGCGUUAUCCGGAUUUAUUGGGUUUAAAGGGUCCGCAGGCGGAAAAAUAAGUCAGUGGUGAAAUCCUAUCGCUUAACGAUAGAACUGCCAUUGAUACUGUUUUCUUGAGUAUACUUGAAGUGGGCGGAAUGUGUCAUGUAGCGGUGAAAUGCAUAGAUAUGACACAGAACACCGAUUGCGAAGGCAGCUCACUAAAUUAUAACUGACGCUCAUGGACG
rnacentral:rRNA from 1 species